GACGUAGGGCGCAAGCGUUGUCCGGAUUUAUUGGGCGUAAAGAGCUCGUAGGCGGCCUGUCGCGUCGACCGUGAAAACCCGCAGCUCAACUGCGGGCUUGCGGUCGAUACGGGCAGGCUCGAGUUCGGUAGGGGAGACUGGAAUUCCUGGUGUGAGCGGUGGAAAUGACGCAGAUAUCAGGAGGAACACCGGUGGCGAAGGCGGGUCUCUAGUACGGUACUGACGCUGAGACGCGAAAGCGUGGGGAGCGAACAGG
rnacentral:rRNA from 1 species